GAAUCACACGCAGUCACAGGAUCAGUGGAUCCUUGCACCAUUAACUUACAUGCUCCAGACUUUAGAGGAGCUGCAGAAUUCAGUACCCAACUACUUUCCGUCGCCUACAGUUGAAUGCUGCCCCACUCCAAAGCUGCGCCACCGCUCUGCAGCCCCAAAAGCGGGGAAACAAACCACUUUGUGGGAGCCUGAGAAGCAGGGACUAUUUUCUCUUACUGUGUCCUCUCCUGGGCUGCUGUAAUGAACAACAUUCCUAGGUUGAAGCCUCCUCUCUGCUUUGUGCCUAUUAGCUGUUCCCGUUCCCUCCCUCUGCUGCUUGUUUUCCGCCCUAAUAAAGAUCAUACCGGAAAUAACCAUUGCAGACCUGCUUGCGAAGUAACUAGGAGUUGGAAGUUAAGUGCUUAAGCCUCGGGAUCUGCAAGGACGAAUGUUUUGGACAGUUAACAUAAUUGUUUCUCCUGCAAAGUGCCAGCAAAAAAAGAAAGGAAACAGAAGAAAGAGGGGGGGGGGAGCUGUGUGCAAUUGCUCCACAUACAUCAAGAGUUGUCAGUAAAAUCAAACUGACGUCAUCUCUGUGUAAAAAGGAGCUGUGUCUUUUGUUCUUCUCUCUCCCCCCCUCCACCGCCCUGUAUAUCAAGAUUUAAAAAUCCACCUCCCGUUUAUGCCACGUUAAUUGCAAUGCAAAAGGAGACCUUCCACUAAAACUUGCCUAGGCUGUGCUACAUUUUAAUGAAUGCAAGCCUGCCUUUUGAUCUCUCCGAGUCAGUUGUGCCGGAAGACUUUUAACCCUGCUGCUGGUCCCUGGUGUGAGUGUAUUCUGUAUUUUUUAUCACCACCGUCCCUUGCAGUUGGCUCCUUUAUUCAUAUAGCUGAUGUGAUGCGUUAAGAGGGGAGAGAAUCUGAAUCUGCCAGCAUGUGAAUUCACCAGAAACAGUGGAUGAAGUACAUGUUUAAUCCUAGGGAGGUGAAAAAGAAAAGAAAAAAUGAAGGUGGUGAAGGGGGAAAACCUUUCACCUCCUUAGAUGCAACAAGGAACUAUUUUCAUUUACAAAAGCCAAAGCAUGCUACAUCUCACAUUGUUCUAGGUGGAAGAGAAAGAUGAUAAAACAAUGUUAUUUAUAUUUAUUUAUUAUUACAUUUACAAAGCACCUUUUCCUCCAAGGAGCUCAAGGAGGCAUACAUGAAUCUUCCUCCUAAUUUGAUCCUGAGGUAAGUUAGGCUGAGAGAGGGUGACUGGUCUGAGGCCACCCAGUGAGCUUCAUGGCUGAGUGGGAAUUCAAACCCUGAUCUCCCGGAUCUUAGUCGAACACUCUAACCAUUACUUUACUUCACCUACAUGAACAUUGAAACAUUUUUGAUCCCAGAGGAUGGUCUACGGCAGGCUUCCUCAACCUCGGCCCUCUAGAUGUUUUGAGACUACAUUUCCCAUCAUCCCUGACCACUGGUCUUGCUAGCUAGGGAUCAUGGGAGUUGUAGGCCAAAAACAUCUGGAGGGCCUAGUUUGAGGAAGCCCGGUCUAAGGCUUGGGCACUCUGGCUAGAUAGAGACCCCUAGUGGGGCACCUUUUGGCCAUAGUGAGCCUUUGGAGGAAAUGUGAGCUAGGAGAGUAAUGAACAUAUGAAGCUGCAAUUGUACUGGGCCUGCCCUGCAUCCCUUCCCUUCCUUAAACUCCAGCUGUCUUUCACAAACUGUUUGGCGGUGUGCCAAGGAGUUGAUGAUGAAAGGUUACUGCCCUUGCAUCUAUUAUUGAGCCCCAAAUGAUGCAUCUGGGCUGGUGUUUAUUCAGAUCAGUUAUUUGGUAUGGCAGUAGUGAAAGAGGAGAGACAGGAUAUAUUCUUGGGAAGCAACAAAAAUUGAUCUGGUUGGCUUCUUUCAUCCAGCAGGAUAGGGAUUGGCUCAGUUAGUGAUGAAAACUUGCUUCAGUUUGUAUUUAAAAGAAAAAUUACCUGAUUCACAGUUUGUGAAAUAAUAUGUGAACCAAAACACAGCCAUCCUUUGCAACCCACACUUUUGCAGAUAACCAUCCAGCCAAGUGAUGUGUGCAAAAAUACUAGGGUUAAAUGUGCACAUAUUAGUAAAAAUAACAUAAAAAUACAUAUGGGGGAAUUGCUUUGCAAAAAUGUGUGUAUUGGACAAAAUUUCAUUUUGUAUUGGACAAAAUGUGAACUAUGGGAACAGUAGCUCUAGGAGGGACCCUUAAUAAGCUACAUAUCCCAGGAUCAUUUAGGGGAGGCCAUGACUGUUGAAAGUGGAAUCAUAGUUAUUUAAUGGUAUGGUGUGAAUAUGGCCAAACAUUUGGUGCUACAUAAGCAGGGCUGGCUUUCCCAUAAGGCAAGGUGAGGUGAGCACUUUGGACAACAGCAUCCACAGAGACAGCAGAUCCCAAUGUAGAUCUUUACUCUCCUCUUGUACCUGAUGUAGAUCUUCACUCAUCCAUUUUUCCCUGGCAGGGAGGGGACUGCCAUUUUGUGGUCUGCCCUGGAUGCCAGAAAGUCUUGGGCUAGCUGUAUACAUAAGCCUUUGUCAACCCAGUGCCCUCCAGGUGCUUUGGACAUCUGUACUAGCUG